CAGCCGCCACGGGAAUACGGAGGGUGCAAGCGUUAAUCGGAAUUACUGGGCGUAAAGCGUGCGUAGGUGGUGGUUUAAGUCCGUUGUGAAAGCCCUGGGCUCAACCUGGGAAUUGCAGUGGAUACUGGGUCACUAGAGUGUGGUAGAGGAUAGUGGAAUUUCCGGUGUAGCAGUGAAAUGCGUAGAGAUCGGAAGGAACAUCUGUGGCGAAGGCGACUAUCUGGGCCAACACUGACACUGAGGCACGAAAGCGUGGGGAGCAAACAGGAUUAGAUACCCGCGUAGUCCCUGUCUCUUAUAC
rnacentral:rRNA from 1 species